rnacentral:rRNA from 1 species
GACCUGCCUUCGAGCGGGGGAUAACGCUCCGAAAGGGACGCUAAUACCGCAUAACAUCCUGCCUUUUAAGAGGGGGAGAUCAAAGCCGGGGAUUCGCAAGAACCUGGCACUUGAAGAGGGGCCCGCGCCUGAUUAGCUAGUUGGUGGGGUAAUGGCCUACCAAGGCAACGAUCAGUAUCCGGCCUGAGAGGGCGGACGGACACACUGGGACUGAGACACGGCCCAGACUCCUACGGGAGGCAGCAGUGGGGAAUUGUUCGCAAUGGGCGCAAGCCUGACGACGCAACGCCGCGUGGAGGAUGAAGACCUUCGGGUCGUAAACUCCUUUCGAUCGAGACGAAUGUUUUUCGGGUGAAUACUCCGGAAAAGUGACGGUACCGAGAGAAGAAGCCCCGGCUAACUCUGUGCCAGCAGCCGCGGUAAUACAGGGGGGGCAAGCGUUGUUCGGAAUUACUGGGCGUAAAGGGCUCGUAGGUGGCCAACUAAGUCAGACGUGAAAUCCCUCAGCUUAACUGGGGAACUGCGUCUGAUACUGGAUGGCUUGAGUUUGGGAGAGGGAUGCGGAAUUCCAGGUGUAGCGGUGAAAUGCGUAGAUAUCUGGAGGAACACCGGUGGCGAAGGCGGCAUCCUGGACCAACACUGACACUGAGGAGCGAAAGCCAGGGGAGCAAACGGGAUUAGAUACCCCGGUAGUCCUGGCCCUAAACGAUGAA